CUAACUAAAUUGGUUGCUCCAGAUGGCAGCACAUCAUCACGUGAAUUUUCAUGGCGGUGUUGUAGGGCUAGUCCCGUAUCGUCUUGUGAUUUCACCAAAAACUGCUGUUUUGGAUAUUUAGUGUAAAACAGCAAUAAAAAUUACUUUGUCGUAAUUCAGGAUGAGUGAAUAUUGGGUGAUCAGUGCCCCUGGCGACAAAACCUGCCAACAAACAUGGGAUACCCUGAAUAAUGCCACCAAAUCUGGCAACCUUAGUGCCAACUAUAAAUUCCCUAUUCCUGACCUAAAGGUUGGAACUUUGGAUCAGUUGGUUGGGUUGUCCGAUGACCUUGGAAAGCUGGACACCUUUGUUGAAAGUGUGACUAGGAAGGUCGCACAAUACCUUGGUGAGGUACUUGAAGAUCAACGCGACAAACUUCAUGAAAACCUCAUGGCAAAUAAUAGUGACCUGCCCACUUAUUUGACACGUUUCCAAUGGGACAUGGCCAAGUACCCAAUCAAACAGAGCCUUCGUAACAUCGCUGAUAUUAUAAGUAAACAGGUGGGUCAAAUCGAUGCCGACUUAAAGGUCAAGUCUUCUGCCUACAAUGCACUAAAGGGAAACCUACAGAACUUGGAGAAAAAACAAACUGGCAGCUUGCUGACGCGCAAUCUGGCAGAUCUAGUGAAGAAGGAGCACUUUAUCUUGGACAGUGAAUAUUUGACUACUCUUCUUGUUAUUGUGCCCAAGUCGUUGUUCAACGACUGGAACGCGAACUACGAGAAAAUAACUAACAUGAUCGUGCCACGUUCCACGCAGCUUAUACAUCAAGAUAACGAUUACGGUCUCUUCACUGUUACACUCUUCAAGAAGGUAGUCGAAGAAUUCAAGCUACACGCCCGCGAGCGUAAGUUUGUUGUUCGCGAGUUCUCUUACAACGAGCAGGAUCUCGCCGCCGGAAAGAAUGAGAUCACAAAACUGGUGACUGACAAGAAGAAGCAGUUCGGUCCUCUCGUCCGUUGGCUGAAAGUGAACUUCUCAGAAUGCUUCUGUGCCUGGAUACACGUUAAAGCAUUGCGUGUCUUCGUCGAGUCCGUCCUCAGAUACGGCCUCCCUGUAAACUUCCAAGCAGUAGUGAUGGUGCCGUCUCGUAAGAGCAUGAAGAAACUCCGUGACGUGCUACAGCAGCUGUAUGCUCAUCUGGACCACUCUGCCCACCACCACUCUGGGGCGCAACAGGAGAGUGCUGAGUUAGCAGGUCUUGGGUUUGGUCAAUCGGACUACUUCCCAUACGUGUUCUACAAAGUCAAUGUUGAUAUGAUUGAAAAGACCGCUUAGAGAUGCUGCUGAAUGGCUGUUAUAGGUGAAAUGUUUAUGAAGUUUUCCAUUUCUAAAAUAAUUAUGUAAUGUUACCAAGUUCUGUGCGUGACCGUUGUAUUGACAACUAGCUGCAAUAUCGCCUUGUACAAUAAAAAAAAUUGUUAUACAUUCUAAACCUAUUGGUUAGUCAUUGAUAAAUUUUAUUCCAAUUAUAUUUUUCUAUGCAAAUCAAAUGUGUGUAUCGAAGCAGGUUGUUUAUUUACAUAAAAUUUUUAUUUAUAAUGUUGCCAUUUAAUGCUUCAGGAAUGAAAAAAAAAACGCAACAAUUUUGUUUUUUCAGUAUUAUGUUGCGUUAUUAGAGUAGAUAUAACAACUGUUACUAAAUGUAAUAUAAUGUUCAAUAAAUUAUAUUGGUAUAAUGCAAAACUGUAAAUAAGAACAUUCCUCAUAAAACUUGUGUAGUACAUAAUAAAUAUUAUUCAAGUUACUGUU